UGCUUAGUUAAAACAUCUUGAGCUUUUGCUACAAAAACAAGCUUAUAUCAGCAGUAAGAUCUUCAGAGUAAGAGAAAUAUCUCUGCAGAGCAGGUGAAAAAACGUAGAGGGGCUCUGAACUGUUUUGCCUAUAGGCAGUUCUAUAGGCAUUUGACUGGUCAGCUAGACAGCAAAGAUCAAGAAUCAACAUCCUAGUCAGGUUGAACAUGUGUGCCUCAAGUUCCUUGAAUGCAGAACCACCAUGGAGUUCCAGAACCUUCUCAGCUGUCUUGCAGACUUUCAGGAUGCUGUCUGACGGUCUUAUAAAUCCACCUCAGGACGUCAUGUCGAUCAGUGUGUUCAUCUUGGGAAGAGCUCUCGAGUGCUGAUAAACAGGCUGAACAUCACUGCCUGAAAUGCCAGCAUAUCAGAAGAUGUUGCCUCCAGUGUCACUGUCCGGUGGAGAACUGUUGCCACUAGCUCUGAUGGCUUGUCUUGCUACCAUUCUUUUGAAAGCUGAAUAAUGUGGGAUUGUUGUUAAAUCCAU